rnacentral:lncRNA from 10 species
GGUGGGGUUUCACCAUGUUGAUCAGGCUGGUCUGGAACUCCUGGCCUCGUGAUCCGUCCACCUCAGCCUCCCAAAGUGCUGAGAUUACAGGCGUGGGCCACUGCGCCUGGCCGUUUCUUGCAUUUUUAAUGAAGAGGAGGGAAAAAAACAGAGAGGAAAAGUUAAGUUGCCAGGGUUUAUCUCAUGGGAUUUGAUCAAUCAUAUAGAAAAACAAACUGCCCAGGGUUGGCCUAAUGAUAAACUUUUGGUGUUUCUUGAUACCCUAGCCAUGUAACAUUCCCUUUAGCCUUUAUUGAUCAAGAAACUUGAUAAUCUUGAAAGACUCCUCAGUCAUGAAAGAUUUCUCAUUGUGAGGUGUAUUUUUUCUACCGAAGCUGCAGACUAAUAUUUUAGAUAGUUGGUUUAAACACACACACAGAUGGCUGGGCGUGAGCCAUCGCACCCAGCCGUUACAUUUAGAUUAAGGGGAUAGGAGAUGCAUUUCCUAAUUAAUUGUGCUUUUAAUUUAUCUGGCAUAGAAUAAGUCAUUUCUGUCAUUUAUAUAGAAUAAAAGAGCAUUCUUUGUUUUACGAAUCUGAUAGAAAACCAGAUUGAAACUUUAAUUCUUUUAAUCAGUAUCCAUUGGAAAUAUUCCAGCAAAAAUACUACAGUAAAAGACUUUAUGAAUAAAAAUGUAAACUUUAUAUAUUUCUGGAGUCAAACUGAUUUAUUAUGUGAAUUAAACUGUCUUAUUUAAAAUGAGCUUAAAGCUUCUUAAUGUAAGAAGACAUCAAAGAUUACCAGCAGGGAGGCUGAGGCGGGC